rnacentral:rRNA from 1 species
ACCGCAUACGAUCUACGGAUGAAAGCGGGGGAUCUUCGGACCUCGUGCUAUAGGGGCGGCCGAUGGCAGAUUAGCUAGUUGGUGGGGUAAAGGCUCACCAAGGCGACGAUCUGUAGCUGGUCUGAGAGGACGACCAGCCACACUGGGACUGAGACACGGCCCAGACUCCUACGGGAGGCAGCAGUGGGGAAUUUUGGACAAUGGGGGCAACCCUGAUCCAGCAAUGCCGCGUGUGUGAAGAAGGCCUUCGGGUUGUAAAGCACUUUUGUCCGGAAAGAAAUCCUAGAGGCUAAUAUCCUGUGGGGAUGACGGUACCGGAAGAAUAAGCACCGGCUAACUACGUGCCAGCAGCCGCGGUAAUACGUAGGGUGCGAGCGUUAAUCGGAAUUACUGGGCGUAAAGCGUGCGCAGGCGGUUCGCUAAGACCGAUGUGAAAUCCCCGGGCUUAACCUGGGAACUGCAUUGGUGACUGGCGGGCUAGAGUAUGGCAGAGGGGGGUAGAAUUCCACGUGUAGCAGUGAAAUGCGUAGAGAUGUGGAGGAAUACCGAUGGCGAAGGCAGCCCCCUGGGCCAAUACUGACGCUCAGCAC